UCAAUGGAGAGUUUGAUCCUGGCUCAGGACGAACGCUGGCGGCGUGCUUAACACAUGCAAGUCGAACGGUGACGAUGGGAGCUUGCUCCUGUCUGAUCAGUGGCGAACGGGUGAGUAACACGUGAGUAACCUGCCCCGGACUCUGGAAUAACCCCGGGAAACCGGAGCUAAUACCGGAUAUGACACCAACCUGCAUGGGUAUGGUGUGGAAAGUUUUUCGGUCUGGGAUGGACUCGCGGCCUAUCAGCUUGUUGGUGAGGUAAUGGCUCACCAA
rnacentral:rRNA from 1 species